rnacentral:rRNA from 1 species
CCUACGGGGGGCUGCAGUGGGGAAUCUUCCGCAAUGGACGAAAGUCUGACGGAGCAACGCCGCGUGAGUGAUGACGGCCUUCGGGUUGUAAAGCUCUGUGAUCGGGGACGAAUGGCUGGUAUGCUAAUACCAUAUCAGAGUGACGGUACCCGAAUAGCAAGCCACGGCUAACUACGUGCCAGCAGCCGCGGUAAUACGUAGGUGGCAAGCGUUGUCCGGAAUUAUUGGGCGUAAAGCGCGCGCAGGCGGCUUCUUAAGUCCAUCUUAAAAGUGCGGGGCUUAACCCCGUGAUGGGAUGGAAACUGGGAGGCUGGAGUAUCGGAGAGGAAAGUGGAAUUCCUAGUGUAGCGGUGAAAUGCGUAGAGAUUAGGAAGAACACCGGUGGCGAAGGCGACUUUCUGGACGACAACUGACGCUGAGGCGCGAAAGCGUGGGGAGCAAACAGGAUUAGAUACCCCAGUAGUC